GUUUUACUCCCUCUGUCCCGAAUUACUUGUCGCAGAAAUGGAUGUAUCUAGACAUAUUUUUAGUUCUAGAUACAUCCAUUUCUAUCCAUUUCUGUGACAAGUAAUUCGGACGAGGGAGUAUGAU
rfam:Triticum aestivum genome assembly, contig: Triticum_aestivum_CS42_TGACv1_scaffold_252360_3DL